UACGUAGGGGGCAAGCGUUGUCCGGAUUUACUGGGUUUAAAGGGUGCGUAGGCGGGUUAUUAAGUCAGUGGUGAAAGCCUACAGCUUAACUGUAGAAUUGCCAUUGAUACUGAUGAUCUUGAGUAUGAUUGAGGUGGGCGGAAUGUGUCAUGUAGCGGUGAAAUGCUUAGAUAUGACACAGAACACCGAUUGCGAAGGCAGCUCACUAAGCCAUAACUGACGCUGAUGCACGAAAGCGUGGGGAGCAAACAGG
rnacentral:rRNA from 1 species